AUAAACACCGGAAGCACCGAAUCCGUGAUUUAACGAAAACUCGAUACGUAGUUCAUAUUUGUAGAUAUUUUCUUCUCUCUCUUCAUCUUUACGAGUUCAAUCACUUCUGCCUAAAGCCUUUACCUCAACAUUUGCCCUUUAUCGGGAAACCGCGAUUAUGCUUCGAGAUCUUCAUUCGCCAUCGCUCUUUAGGUGUUGAUAGCAUCUCGAUGAAACGGAUGGUUCUCGUCUGCUUUCUCCUUUCGCAGCUUCAAAGGUCUUUUAUUCUCUCUCUGGUGGCCUUUGCUUUCGCUUUUGUGAUUGUGUUUUUUUUCUGUAUAUUUGAAUGGAUAAUUACUUUCAUAUCUGUUAUUGGAGAGUUUAGCUUGGCUUAUUUUGAACGUACAUGCACUACAUUAUAUUCGCUUUCUUAUAUUUUGGAAUACAAUCUGUGAUGUUUUCGUCCCGUUUUGGUUUCUCUUUUUUUAGUUGUUUUUUUAUUUCCCAGGUAUAGUUUCUGGCAUUAAUCUUUUCUGAUUUGUAUUUGAUAUUUAGCCUGUCAAAACUAUGGUGUCAAAAUCUUCUGUUCCACAAUCUAUAAAGUUCUUGGCGUGGUUCCAACCCUGUCAAAUUACGAAGGGUAUAUGAUUAUUGAAGCAAUGGGGACUGUUUUCACUAUACAUAAGGGCGGUUCAGUUUACAAAUCCUUUUUCUUUUACCAAAUUCACCAGAAACGUUUGUUUUCAAUUCAUCUUCAGCUUCUCAUGGCCAAGGGUUUAUUUGUGAUACUGUGAAUGUAGUUUAAUAUAAUUGUUGAAUAUUGUGAAUGUAUUAUUUGUGAUUCUGCCUCUCUUUGAUUCUGAUUGAACUGUGCUUGUUUUCACCUAGGAUUAUGUUAUUGGUGGUGACUCUAAUAUCGUAAAUGGUAGUAGUUUAGAUGAGUUAACUAAGUAGUUUCAAAUUCAGUAACUCUUUUGUGGUAAUCUUAGUAAUCUUUUACUUUAUGUUUGAUGACAGAAGUUUUGGAGUUUUUCUCUACAUGUUACAAGUUAAACUUUUUAGAUGUCAAGUGGAAUAAAAAGUCACAUGUGUCGGCAUUUCGAUGUUUCGCUUUUUGUUUGUAUCUGUUAUUGGAAUUAUGUAAUUUGAUAGAUGUUUGUUGUAAUAAUGUGUAAUUCUAACAACUUGCAAAAGUAUGCUGAAAACUGUGGUAUUUGCAUCUUCAGUAGUGGUCUUGCGUGCUUCAAUAGGGGAUGAAAAUUUUAAUAUAAGCAUGCCUUUAUACCCCAAUCAGGCCACAGUUAAUUGAAAACUAGGUGAUUAAGUCUUAUAUUGGCUUAAUUCUAAAGGGGAGAAAUUAGAUACACUGAGAGUCUCAGAGUCUAGGUGAUUAUCUUGUUAGUUAAUGUUUGACUUUCAGGUUCACUUAAUCUGUUGAGAAUAAAGUGAUGGGAUGGAGUGAGCAUUGAUAAAAAUGGUUUGUGGUAUAUGACUCUAUAAUACCUGUGAAAGAAGGUAACUGGAUAAAUAUUUGACUACACUUUGUCUCAAUAGAGGUCUUGAAAUUAAUUCAUAGCAUUGUAGUUAGUAGUAGAUAAUGGAGCCUUCCUAUGAUAAACAAAAUUGUCUUGGGUGUGCAAUACAGUAUGGUGAUCCAUUAUUACACUUAGGCAUCACGUAUAACUCCUUUUGUUAUUGCCAUGGAAUAUGCACUUGCCCGUGGUUACUUGUUACGGCUCUCUCUCCUAACAGGCUAGUCUUUUUUGGGAUGAGUUCUCCUGUUUUGUUUGAAACAUUGCUUUUGGAUGGGAGAUGAAAAAUUAUAGUAUUAAAGUGGACCCAAAUCAUUGUAAAACUAGUUUGAAAUGAGGGUAAUAAGUUCAAAACCAUAUAUAUCUGAACAACUAUCUAUCUAUCUGCUACUUUGAAUUUGCAAAAGAUAUCCAUGUGUCCUUCAUUUCAAUCACAACCUUUUUGUAUUUAUUAAUAACUCUAACACCUCCUGCUCUUUGAUGCACCUAUUUUAGGUUAAUAGGUAUGCAGAUGAACUGGUAAUAUAUAUAGUAGUAUUUAAUUACAGGCUGCUGGUUCUUUACCCAGAUGGGCUCCAAACUUUAUGCUUAUUACAUGCAAGAUCUUUGGUAUUUUACUUGAUUGGUUUUAUUAGCAGCUAAUGCUAAACUGUCAAGCAUAAAUGUGACUUUGUGCAGAUUAGCAGUUUACCAUUUUCUUAAGGUUUGGUAAUGAAUAUAUUAAAUCUGUAUAGUGAAGUGAUCUGGUGAUUCGGCAAUGAGGCUGAUGCCACCAAAUGUCGGAUAUUUAUGAAACAGGAUAUGGACCUCAUAUACAUCAGCACAAGCAUCAAGCAUAAAUGUGACUUUGUGCAGAUUAGCAGUUUACCAUUUUUUUAAGGUUUGGUAAUGAAUAUAUUAAAUCUGUAUAGUGAAGUGGUCUGGUGAUUCAACAAUGAGGUUGAUGCCACCAAAUGUCGGAUCUUUAUGAAACGGGAUAUGGACCUCAUAUACAUCAGCACAAGCAUCCACACGCAUAAUGUACUAUUAAUAAACCAGUUUCUGUGAUUUUGGAGGUCUCUAAUGUUCAAUCCAGCAAGUUCCUCUCCCAAAAGUUUCCUGCAACCGCAAUAACAGAGGCAAGUCAUUUCAGGUGAAAGAUGAGAGACAAGGGCUGCUAUGUUCAUUAAGGCCUUUCAACAGGUUCUUACCCUACGCAAAGCUUUCUUGAAGAAUAAAUGGAAGUGAAGUGUUGGAGAUCCCCAUGGCUUGUUUAAAUGGAAUCAGAUUCCUGGCUUAACUAUUUAUUCUGCCAACGAGAAUCACUAUAAAAAAAUAAAAAAAUUGGCCAGGGACAUUUUUCAAUGCAAUUAAGGAUGUUAAUUUAUUUUAAA